ACCAGAGUGGUGUAAUGGUCUGAGUGUUGGACUAUAAAUCUGGAGACCAGGGUUCAAUCCCCAGCUUGGUC